rnacentral:rRNA from 1 species
CCUACGGGAGGCAGCAGUGGGGAAUAUUGGACAAUGGGCGAAAGCCUGAUCCAGCAAUACCGCGUGUGUGAAGAAGGCCUUAGGGUUGUAAAGCACUUUCAGAGGGGAAGAAGUGUUGAAUGCUAAUACCAUUCAAUGUUGACGUUACCUUCAGAAGAAGCACCGGCUAAUUCUGUGCCAGCAGCCGCGGUAA